rnacentral:rRNA from 1 species
GACGAACGCUGGCGGCGUGCUUAACACAUGCAAGUCGAACGGAAAGGCCCUGCUUUUGUGGGGUGCUCGAGUGGCGAACGGGUGAGUAACACGUGAGUAACCUGCCCUUGACUUUGGGAUAACUUCAGGAAACUGGGGCUAAUACCGGAUAGGAGCUCCUGCUGCAUGGUGGGGGUUGGAAAGUUUCGGCGGUUGGGGAUGGACUCGCGGCUUAUCAGCUUGUUGGUGGGGUAGUGGCUUACCAAGGCUUUGACGGGUAGCCGGCCUGAGAGGGUGACCGGCCACAUUGGUACUGAGAUACGGCCCAGACUCCUACGGGAGGCAGCAUUGGGGAAUAGUGCACAAUGGGCGGACGCCUGAUGCAGCAACGCCGCGUGCGGGAUGACGGCCUUCGGGUUGUAAACCGCUUUCGCCUGUAACGAAGCGUUAGUGACGGUAAUGGGUAAAGAAGCACCGGCUAACUACGUG